rnacentral:sRNA from 1 species
UUUUAGCCCCGAUAGUAGUGGAAAUCCUUUUUAUUUUUUCUUUAAAAAUAAAAAGAUUGCAACGGAUAGCGGGAAAAGCU